UACAGAGGUCUCAAGCGUUGUUCGGAUUCAUUGGGCGUAAAGGGUGCGUAGGCGGCGCGGUAAGUCGGGUGUGAAAUCUUGGAGCUUAACUCCGAAACUGCAUUCGAUACUGCCGUGCUUGAGGACUGGAGAGGAGACUGGAAUUUACGGUGUAGCGGUGAAAUGCGUAGAUAUCAGGAGGAACACCUGUGGUGUAGACAGCUUACUGGACCACUUCUGACGCUGAGACACGAAAGCGUGGGUAGCAAACAGG
rnacentral:rRNA from 1 species